rnacentral:sRNA from 1 species
UCGAGACACGUGGUCCAACGAGCAGAACCGACCGAUAAACUGGUCUCGGAACCGCAGCCGGGCGCAGCUCCCGGCGCGACCGACCAUGAUCAGCCAGCAGCCGCUGCAACCCCAGGGAG